rnacentral:piRNA from 1 species
UAAGAAAAUUGGCUACAACCCUG